AGUGAACGCUGGCGGUAGGCCUAACACAUGCAAGUCGAACGGCAGCACAGUAAGAGCUUGCUCUUACGGGUGGCGAGUGGCGGACGGGUGAGGAAUACAUCGGAAUCUACUUUUUCGUGGGGGAUAACGUAGGGAAACUUACGCUAAUACCGCAUACGACCUACGGGUGAAAGCAGGGGAUCUUCGGACCUUGCGCGAUUGAAUGAGCCGAUGUCGGAUUAGCUAGUUGGCGGGGUAAAGGCCCACCAAGGCGUCGAUCCGUAGCUGGUCUGAGAGGAUGAUCAGCCACACUGGAACUGAGACACGGUCCAGACUCCUACGGGAGGCAGCAGUGGGGAAUAUUGGACAAUGGGCGCAAGCCUGAUCCAGCCAUACCGCGUGGGUGAAGAAGGCCUUCGAGUUGUAAAGCCCUUUUGUUGGGAAAGAAAAGCAGCAGGUUAAUACCCCGCUGUUCUGACGGUACCCAAAGAAUAAGCACCGGCUAACUUCGUG
rnacentral:rRNA from 1 species